rnacentral:rRNA from 1 species
CCUACGGGAGGCAGCAGUGGGGAAUAUUGGGCAAUGGGCGCAAGCCUGACCCAGCAAUGCCGCGUGAAGGAAGAAGGCUCUCGGGUUGUAAACCUCUUUGACAGGGGAAGCGAAGAAGACGGUACCCUGAAAACAAGCCACGGCCAACUACGUGCCCGCAGCCGCGGUGAUACGUAGGUGGCAAGCGUUGUCCGGAUUUACUGGGUGUAAAGGGCGUGUAGCCGGGUAGGCAAGUCAGAUGUGAACUCCGGAGGCUCAACCUCCGAAUUGCAUUUGAAACUGUUUGUCUUGAGUACUGGAGAGGCAGACGGAAUGCCUGGUGUAGCGGUGAAAUGCGUAGAUAUAAGGAGGAACACCAGUGGCGAAGGCGGUCUGCUGGACAGCAACUGACGGUGAGGCGCGAAAGCGUGGGGAGCGAACAGGAUUAGAUACCCGAGUAGUC